GCAGGGUAUAGACCCGAAACCCGGUGAUCUAGCCAUGGGCAGGUUGAAGGUUGGGUAACACUAACUGGAGGACCGAACCGACUAAUGUUGAAAAAUUAGCGGAUGACUUGUGGCUGGGGGUGAAAGGCCAAUCAAACCGGGAGAUAGCUGGUUCUCCCCGAAAGCUAUUUAGGUAGCGCCUCGUGAAUUCAUCUCCGGGGGUAGAGCACUGUUUCGGCAAGGGGGUCAUCCCGACUUACCAACCCGAUGCAAACUGCGAAUACCGGAGAAUGUUAUCACGGGAGACACACGGCGGGUGCUAACGUCCGUCGUGAAGAGGGAAACAACCCAGACCGCCAGCUAAGGUCCCAAAGUCAUGGUUAAGUGGGAAACGAUGUGGGAAGGCCCAGACAGCCAGGAUGUUGGCUUAGAAGCAGCCAUCAUUUAAAGAAAGCGUAAUAGCUCACUGGUCGAGUCGGCCUGCGCGGAAGAUGUAACGGGGCUAAACCAUGCACCGAAGCUGCGGCAGCGACGCUUAUGCGUUGUUGGGUAGGGGAGCGUUCUGUAAGCCUGUGAAGGUGGCCUGUGAGGGUUGCUGGAGGUAUCAGAAGUGCGAAUGCUGACAUAAGUAACGAUAAAGCGGGUGAAAAGCCCGCUCGCCGGAAGACCAAGGGUUCCUGUCCAACGUUAAUCGGGGCAGGGUGAGUCGACCCCUAAGGCGAGGCCGAAAGGCGUAGUCGAUGGGAAACAGGUUAAUAUUCCUGUACUUGGUGUUACUGCGAAGGGGGGACGGAGAAGGCUAUGUUGGCCGGGCGACGGUUGUCCCGGUUUAAGCGUGUAGGCUGGUUUUCCAGGCAAAUCCGGAAAACCAAGGCUGAGGCGUGAUGACGAGGCACUACGGUGCUGAAGCGACAAAUGCCCUGCUUCCAGGAAAAGCCUCUAAGCAUCAGGUAACAUCAAAUCGUACCCCAAACCGACACAGGUGGUCAGGUAGAGAAUACCAAGGCGCUUGAGAGAACUCGGGUGAAGGAACUAGGCAAAAUGGUGCCGUAACUUCGGGAGAAGGCACGCUGAUAUGUAGGUGAAGCGACUUGCUCGUGGAGCUGAAAUCAGUCGAAGAUACCAGCUGGCUGCAACUGUUUAUUAAAAACACAGCACUGUGCAAACACGAAAGUGGACGUAUACGGUGUGACGCCUGCCCGGUGCCGGAAGGUUAAUUGAUGGGGUUAGCGGUAACGCGAAGCUCUUGAUCGAAGCCCCGGUAAACGGCGGCCGUAACUAUAACGGUCCUAAGGUAGCGAAAUUCCUUGUCGGGUAAGUUCCGACCUGCACGAAUGGCGUAAUGAUGGCCAGGCUGUCUCCACCCGAGACUCAGUGAAAUUGAACUCGCUGUGAAGAUGCAGUGUACCCGCGGCAAGACGGAAAGACCCCGUGAACCUUUACUAUAGCUUGACACUGAACAUUGAGCCUUGAUGUGUAGGAUAGGUGGGAGGCUUUGAAGUGUGGACGCCAGUCUGCAUGGAGCCGACCUUGAAAUACCACCCUU
rnacentral:rRNA from 1 species